rnacentral:lncRNA from 1 species
UAAUGAGGCCGUGAAGCAUAUUUGGUCGAUCAAAGAAAAGAAGAAUUGAAUGAUCUAUGAGGAGGUACUUACAAUUGUAACCAGUGAAAGAUAAAUAUAAUGCAUCAGUAACUUUGUAUUUCUAAUAUUGCAAUUUGUAAUGUCAAGGGGAAAGCGAGGGAUUGCCAAAAUUUGCCUAUUUCUAAGAUAUGCUUCUCUCUGAUAUAGAGAUCCAAUCUCAAUCUAUACAUCAAAGCUGUUCACUAUGAGCUUCAACCAUUUGCCUGCAGCAUUCCUAGUUGUGGGAUGAAAUUUGCAUUCAAACAUAUCAGGGAUAAUAAUGAAAAAUCUGGGAGACAUGUUUAUACCCAGGUAAGUUUGGCCUUAUUUCCCAAUUUUACAACUCGACUAUCAGUCCCUUUUCCAUCCUGAGAGAUGUUUUGGGCAAUUAAAAUAUAAACUACUCUUUGAGUCUUGCUAUGUUCAGGGAAAUUUUGAAGAGUCCAAUGAGCAAUUUGUCUAAGACCAAGAGGUUUCAGGAAAAGAACAAGCCUAGAGAUUGAGACCUUGAUGCGGAAAAGGGUUGUUUCGCCUAGUGAAUCAGGUCUCAUGAGACAGGAGGGACCUGAAUACUUGUCGUGGCUACUUUUUGGAUAUUCGCAGGAUUAAACAAUCGUUGGGAGAAGACGUAGAUGCUGCCAUCAAACAUAUGUAAAAGUAUGGUAUUCAUAGG